GGAAGGAUGGCCGAGUGGUCGAAGGCGGCGGUCUCGAAAACCGUUAAACGGCUAACGUCGUUUCCAGGGUUCGAAUCCCUGUCCUUCCGCCA
rnacentral:tRNA from 1 species